rnacentral:rRNA from 1 species
UACAGAGGGUGCGAGCGUUAAUCGGAAUUACUGGGCGUAAAGGGCGCGUAGGCGGUGAUAAGGGUGUGAUGUGAAAGCCCUGGGCUUAACCCGGGAAGAGCAUCGCAAACCAUAUGACUGGAGUACAAGAGAGGGUGGCGGAAUUUCCGGUGUAGCGGUGAAAUGCGUAGAGAUCGGAAGGAACGUCAAUGGCGAAGGCAGCCACCUGGCUUGAUACUGACGCUGAAGCGCGAAAGCGUGGGGAGCGAACAGG